rnacentral:rRNA from 1 species
AGGACAAACGCUGGCGGCGUACCUAAGACAUGCAAGUCGAACGGAUCAUAUGGUUUCGGCCGUAUGGUGAGUGGCGGACGGGUGAGUAACGCGUAGGAACCUGUCAUGAAGUGGGGGAUAACGCUGGGAAACCGGCGCUAAUACCGCAUGAGGUCGCAGCAAUGCGAAGAAAGCUUUUCGCGCAAGUGGAAGGCGCUAGAUGAGGGGCCUGCGUCCGAUUAGCUUGUUGGUGGGUAAAGGCCUACCAAGGCAUCGAUCGGUAGCUGGU